AUUGAACGCUGGCGGCAUGCUUUACACAUGCAAGUCGAACGGUAACAGGCCUUCGGGUGCUGACGAGUGGCGAACGGGUGAGUAAUGCGUCGGAACGUGCCCAGUCGUGGGGGAUAACGCAGCGAAAGCUGUGCUAAUACCGCAUACGAUCUGCGGAUGAAAGCGGGGGACCUUGUAGCAAUAUGGGGCCUCGCGCGAUUGGAGCGGCCGAUGUCAGAUUAGGUAGUUGGUAGGGUAAAGGCCUACCAAGCCGACGAUCUGUAGCUGGUCUGAGAGGACGACCAGCCACACUGGGACUGAGACACGGCCCAGACUCCUACGGGAGGCAGCAGUGGGGAAUUUUGGACAAUGGGCGCAAGCCUGAUCCAGCAAUGCCGCGUGCAGGAAGAAGGCCUUCGGGUUGUAAACUGCUUUUGUACGGAACGAAACGGUCUGGGUUAAUACCCUGGGCUAAUGACGGUACCGUAAGAAUAAGCACCGGCUAACUACGUGCCAGCAGCCGCGGUAA
rnacentral:rRNA from 1 species